rnacentral:rRNA from 1 species
CUUCCAGGCGCGGCUAACAAUGCAAGUCGCACGAGAAAGGGCUUCGGCCCCGGUACAGUGGCGCACGGGUGAGUAACACGUGGGUAAUCUGCCUUCGAGCAGGGGAUAACAUUCCGAAAGGAGUGCUAAUACCGCAUAAGACCACGCCCUCGAAAGAGGAAGCGGUCAAAGCUGGCCUCUAUACAUAAGCUAGCACUCGAAAAUGAGCCCGCGGAGCAUCAGCUAGUUGGUGAGGUAAUGGCUCACCAAGGCUUAGACGCUUAGCUGGUCUGAGAGGAUGAUCAGCCACACUGGAACUGAGACACGGUCCAGACUCCUACGGGAGGCAGCAGUGGGGAAUCUUGCGCAAUGGGCGAAAGCCUGACGCAGCGACGCCGCGUGAGUGAUGAAGGCCUUCGGGUUGUAAAGCUCUGUGGGGAGAGAAGAAUAAGUGCGGGCUAAUACUCCGCAUGAUGACGGUAUCUCCUUAGCAAGCACCGGCUAACUCUGUGCCAGCAGCCGCGGUAAGACAGAGGGUGCAAACGUUGUUCGGAAUUACUGGGCGUAAAGCGAGUGUAGGCGGUUUGGUAAGUCGGAUGUGAAAGCCCCGGGCUCAACCCGGGAAGUGCACUCGAUACUGCCAAGCUAGAGUAUCGGAGAGGUUGGUGGAAUUCUCGGUGUAGAGGUGAAAUUCGUAGAUAUCGAGAGGAACACCGGUGGCGAAGGCGGCCAACUGGACGAAUACUGACGCUGAGACUCGAAAGCGUGGGGGAGCAAAC